CCUACGGGGGGCAGCAGUGAGGAAUAUUGGUCAAUGGACGAGAGUCUGAACCAGCCAAGUAGCGUGAAGGAUGACUGCCCUAUGGGUUGUAAACUUCUUUUAUAUGGGAAUAAAACAGGGUAUGCAUACCCUCUUGUAUGUACCAUAUGAAUAAGGAUCGGCUAACUCCGUGCCAGCAGCCGCGGUAAUACGGAGGAUCCGAGCGUUAUCCGGAUUUAUUGGGUUUAAAGGGAGCGUAGGUGGAUUGUUAAGUCAGUUGUGAAAGUUUGCGGCUCAACCGUAAAAUUGCCGUUGAAACUGGCAGUCUUGAGUACAGUAGAGGUGGGCGGAAUUCGUGGUGUAGCGGUUAAAUGCUUCGAUAUCACGAAGAACUCCGAUUGC
rnacentral:rRNA from 1 species